AGAUGGCGACCGGCGCACGGGUGAGUAACACGUAUCCAACCUGCCGAUGACUCGGGGAUAGCCUUUCGAAAGAAAGAUUAAUACCCGAUGGCAUAGUUCUUCCGCAUGGUGGAACUAUUAAAGAAUUUCGGUCAUCGAUGGGGAUGCGUUCCAUUAGGUUGUUGGCGGGGUAACGGCCCACCAAGCCUUCGAUGGAUAGGGGUUCUGAGAGGAAGGUCCCCCACAUUGGAACUGAGACACGGCCCAAACUCCUACGGGAGGCAGCAUG
rnacentral:rRNA from 1 species